UAGCCUCUAAGAUGUCCAGUCCAGGCCUCCAAAGGCUGAAAGGGAAAGGCUUCAGUACUGUGUUGUUCAGUGGCCAAUAUAAAUAGAGGCUACCAGGUUUUAGGCCUAUCAGAUGAUGUGUCUUCUCAGGCCCCAUGCUCUUCUCAUGACACUGUCCUGCCCUCCAGCCAGGGGAAAUGCGGUACUGUAAAAUGCCUUGCUUAGUAUGAAACCAGUAUGCAGACAAAGUAGGCGCCAAAAGCUGAAGUUUUAGUACAUGUCUACUUAAAUACAGAACUGACUGCA